ACGGAGGGUGCAAGCGUUAAUCGGAAUUACUGGGCGUAAAGCGCACGCAGGCGGUUUGUUAAGUCAGAUGUGAAAUCCCCGAGCUUAACUUGGGAACUGCAUUUGAAACUGGCAAGCUAGAGUCUUGUAGAGGGGGGUAGAAUUCCAGGUGUAGCGGUGAAAUGCGUAGAGAUCUGGAGGAAUACCGGUGGCGAAGGCGGCCCCCUGGACAAAGACUGACGCUCAGGUGCGAAAGCGUGGGGAGCAAACAGGAUUAGAUACCCUGGUAGUCCACGCUGUAAACGAUGUCGACUUGGAGGUUGUGCCCUUGAGGCGUGGCUUCCGGAGCUAACGCGUUAAGUCGACCGCCUGGGGAGUACGGCCGCAAGGUUA
rnacentral:rRNA from 1 species